rnacentral:rRNA from 1 species
UACGGAGGGUGCAAGCGUUGCUCGGAAUUACUGGGCGUAAAGGGUAGGUAGGUGGUCUCGUUUGUCGUGCGUGAAAGCCCCGAGCUUAACUUGGGAAGUGCGCACGAAACGGCGAGACUUGAGUACUGGAGAGGGUCGUGGAAUUCCCGGUGUAGCGGUGAAAUGCGUAGAGAUCGGGAGGAACACCAGAGGCGAAGGCGGCGACCUGGACAGAAACUGACACUCAACUACGAAAGCGUGGGGAGCAAACAGG